rnacentral:rRNA from 1 species
CCCUUAGAUGUUCUGGGCCGCACGCGUGCUACACUGAGUAAUUCAAUGGGUAAGGGAACGCUAGAGCAUUACCUAAUCUUGAAAUUUGCUCGUGAUGGGGAUCGACGGUUGCAAUUUUCCGUCGUGAACGAGGAAUACCUUGUAGGCGCAUGUCAUCAUCAUGCGCCGAAUACGUCCCUGCCCUUUGUACACACCGCCCGUCGCUCCUACCGAUUGAGUGAUUCGGUGAGGCUCUGGGACCUGGACGGAAAGAGCGUUUCGCUUGUUCUGUUUGGGAAACUUGGUCGAACCUUAUCAUUUAGAGGAAGGAGAAGUCGUAACA